GUCGCGGUGGAGAACCCCGCAGUUGUGGCAAUGCCGCACGGCCUCCAGCACCUGCCAGAAGAAUCCUCGGGCCAGGUCCUCCUGUAGGGCUCCUCGUUCGGUGAUAAAGUCGAAGAGGUCUUGCACCGGUUCGGGCCUCUCCAGGAUCAGCACGAAACUAUCGGGCCUCUCGAACCAGUCCAGAAGUCUAAUGACGCCCGAGAAGUCCGAGCUCACCUUCUUCAACAGGACCACUUCCAUGGGCACUCGGGUGCCAUUGGGCUGCAGAGUGAGGGCGAGGGUUAGCGCGCCGGUUCCGGCACGCCCGUCGCCACCCACCCACCCAUGAGAGGGUCUCUGGCUCCGGCUCACUCACCAGUUCUCCCCAAUCGGAAAUCCGGUCCUUCUCCACGUGCUUAAUGGCCACCUGGAAGAAGACCCCCGAGUCUCCAUCAGACCCUCCUGCUCAAAGCAUCCCUCCGCGCGCCCUCCCCGAGGCGGCGUUGCCCACUCACCGGCAAGUUGUCGGCGACGCGGAUGCCAGAGUAGACCGAGCCGAAGCCACCGCUGCCCAACAGCGGGCCCACCUGGUACUGCGACUCCAGGGGCUCCUUCUCUUUGCCUAGGAAAGAGGCACGGGACACUCAGCGCGCUCGACCCACGCGGGGGUCUCCCGGCGUCCCAACGACCCGCGCGCCCAGGGUGGGGUGGGGACACUCACCCGGCGCCAGCUUGGUGGCGUGCAGGUCGUUGCAGGGCGCGGCGCGCAGGCAUUUGUAAAAUGUUGAUGGCCAAGCAUGAUACCUCAUGCCUGAGACGCCAGCUCUCAGGAGGCCCCCGGCAAGUUCAAGGCCAGCUUGCUCUACAUGAUCCAAAGAAGCGUCUUUCUCUGAUUCCUUUUAUCUGGAAGAACUGAGAGGAGACGGGCGAACGGUUGUGAGAAUCUCUUUAAGGGGCAGUCCUGGAAUGAGUGAAGUGCACCGCUGACUCCUGGCCGCCUGUCUCUCCUAUGGCCUGGCAUCUUCACAGAUGCAGAUUUUGAAAAUGCAUUUCUCCUUUAUCUGAGAGCCCCUCCUGCCCCCUCCUCCAGGACCGACACACUAUGCGUGGAACCUGUGAUGCUAGGCCAUCCUUCCUAUGGUUUGACAUAUUGUCUCACCAGUAAAGGGUAGAGCUGGAACCCACCAUGAAAUCCUGGCCCAGCAAAAUACGUGCCCUAGAGAAGAAGGACCACAAACUCAAGGUCACCUGGGGCUACAUACUUAAGAUCCAGUCUCAAAACUCCAAAUCAAACAAAAAUUGCGCUAAUAAUAAAUUGUAGGAAGUAAGAAGAUGACACCAGGUAGCAGGUCUCAGGCAGCCUCUUUCUGGCUUUAGACUCAUGAUGGCUUAGAGUAGUUUUGAACUCCCAGUAUCAUCUUCUAAAUGUGCAUCUCGACAAAAAAAAAAGGAAUGACUUCGCCGGGCGUGGUGGCGCACACCUUUAAUCCCAGCACUCGGGAGGCAGAGGCAGGCGGAUUUCUGAAUUCGAGGCUAGCCUGGUCUACAAAGUGAGCUCCAGGACAGCCAGGGCUAUACAGAGAAACCCUGUCUCGAGAAAAAAAAAAAAAAAAAAGGAAUGAUUUCUCUGAGAUAGGGCCACAUGUAGCCCAGGCAACCCUCAAACUGUGAAGUCACAGAUUAUCUGAUCCUCCUGCCUCCACCUCCCAGUGUAAUUAAAAGUACAGCUAGCCUGGUGGCACGCCAUGCCUGACAUAGAGAGAGCAUGCAUCCAACUAAGGGCUUCAUUCUUACUAAGGCAAGCAUUCUGCCUACUGAGCUACAUACAUCCCCGGUGCAGAGAGGAAUAUUUAUUAAGCCUUCAUCCCUUCCAUAAUUGGACAAUGUAUUGUCUUGAUGUUCUGAUGGGCAGGAAGUUAUUUAGGCAGUAUAUAAACUGUCAUACUACACAGGGCAAAAAUAUUGCUUGUUUUCAAAAAAACAUUAGAAUACAGUAAAAUGCACCUGUCAUGGACUAGCCGGCUCUUCCUUUAAUCUUUUUUCCCCCCUCUCCUGUUUCAAAAAGAUGUUCAGGGUUCUCAGCAUAUCAGGGUCAUCAUUUUCAAACAUCCAUUAGUGCCAUCCCCCAGUCGAGGGAGAGAUGUAGUUAAUAAACAUUUCUGCUUGAUAGAGUCUAGCGAUCUAUUAGAACUGCCACCAAGCAGUCAGAGCACACAGUCCCGUUACCAGCCACAGAUCACAUGGCUACACACGUUUCUCCCCACCCCCCGCCCCCCAUUCUCUUUCUUUCCUAACCCUGCCACUUCUAAUAGCUUUACAUGUAUAUUAUAUACACCUUUUUUUUUUUUUUUUUGGUUUUUUCAAGACAGGGUUUCUCUGUGUAGCCUGGCUGUCCUGGAACUCACUCUGUAGACCAGACUGGCCUCGAAUUCAGAAAUCCACCUGCCUCUGCCUCCCAAGUGCUGGGAUUAAAGGCGUGUGCCACCACGCCCAGCUAUAUACAUCUUUUUUAAAUUUAUCAUGUAUAUGUCUGUGAGGAUGUGCAUGGGGUGGGGGUGGGGGGGCUACUCUAGGAGACCAGAGGCACUUGAUCCCUUGGGAUGUUGCCUGAUGUGUGUUCUGGGAACCGAACUCUGGUCUUCUGUAAUAAUAGCAAAGAUCACUAUCAACCUCUGAGCCAUCUCAUGCGGUUUACAUGGAUGUAUUUGAUAUAUACCUAAUAAUGGUAUUUCCUUUGUGCGUUGUUUGUUCGUGUGACUCUUUUUAGACAUGCUUCUGGGCCGGAGAGUUCCUGACCUCACUAUGCUGCCUGCGCAUGUUCUUGAACUUCGGAUUCUCUUGCUUCUCCUUCUCCCCCCCGCCCCCGACCCCCAGUGCUGGGAUCACAGGACUGCACCCCUAAGCCUGGCUUACAUACUGCUGUGGGUGGAGCUCAGGGCCUACUGUGCUCCAGCUGACAACCAAGCCCCAGCUGACAACCAAGCCCCAUCCUUAGCUCUAGUCCUUCACGUUGACUCUGCCUCACCUCUCAGAGAAAGAUGCUCUGUGGCCUGGAGCUUUUCCGGACUGUGUUUGACAACUGGAGUCAUUCCUAGAGCUUGCGCAGUAGACCAGGCUACUAGGCUACUACUACUAGCAGCCUCUGCUUCUGCCUCUUGAGUGCUGGGACUAAAGGCAUGAGCCAUCACUGCCCAGUAGCAUAUAUAUACAUAUAUGGAGCUGGAGAGAUGGCUCAGUGGUUAAAAGCACUUGUUGCUCUUGCUGAGGACCUGAGUUCAAUUCCCAGCCUACACAGUUGCUUACAUGCUUACAGCCAUCCAUAACUCCAGUUCCUGGGGAUAUGAUACCCUCUUCAGACCUCCUCAAGCACCAGGCACAUACAUAGUACACAUAUAUACACUCAUACACAAAAAGUAAAUUUUUAAAAAUUUGUUUUUA
rnacentral:lncRNA from 1 species